GCCAAUCAUAUUCAACGCAAUGCAUUUUGAUUUUCCCCCAAAAUUGUCUUGCGCCAAUAUCGCAGCUCCCUGCCACCGCACACAAUUUGAGUUCGCAACCGCUCCGUCAUCUCCAUUGCCAACCAGCUAAUGAAAUGGGUUAGACAAUAGACUGGCUGUUGGGAGAGUGAAGUGCUGGUGCUAUGCCUCGGUACCAAAAGAAAAGCUCUCCACACUCAUCAAUCGGCGAAUAGCAAGAGAUCUUUCACGAGAAUAUGUUGAGUGCCCAGAUAUACAUUUUGUGUGGAGAUAUGAACUGAGUUUGCUCAGCCCCUACUGUGAUUGUGGACUCCUUUAUACUAUAAGACUUCUUUCUUUUUCUCUUUUGCUCAGACUUCUUGAUAUUUGAAAUGGCAAACCAUUCAAAUUCCACUUCUACUGUUAAAGUUGAAUGGACAGUUCAUAUGGGAAAAACAGAAUGCCACCAUGUGGAGGAUAUUUCUACCGUAGAGUGUGAAAACAAAGACCUUGAAGAGGCUCUUCAGAAUUGUUUGAAGAAGACAAAUUUGGGCGCACAACAAUUGAAGAAUGCUCAAGAAUCCUUGCUCAUCCUAGAAAGUAGCAAAUUUUGCUUCUGUGGACUCCAUUGUUAGGACGGCAAUGGAAGCUAAUCAAAGUCCCGUGUGCCCAGUUUUCUUCUGCCUUGUCAACUGCUUCUGGAAAUGUAGACAUUGCUAACAAGGAUCUGUUUUCAUCCAUUGACCAUCAGUAUCUAACUUUACACGCACAUUAUUGCAUAGAGCUGAAAACAUUCAGGUUUAUCAGGACUACCAGAGCACUGAAUAUUGAGAACAUCGGUGUUGAUGAUUGCCUACAACGAUAUCUGUUCAGUUGGGAGGACAGUUUAUGGUCAACAAAUGUCGACUCGGCCAUUGAAAACCAUAAAAAACCGACCUCAAAGAAUUGGCACUCCACCCUAGUAAUAAAUUAGCCUAUGUCAAAAAGAGUAAGGCAUAUAACACGAUGAAACCACACCCCAUGGAGGUGUUCCUUCUCCACAUUUGGAAUCUUUACAUUAAAUGAUAUUACGUUAAUUUUCCAACAAUGUAUUAUUAGAUCCCCUUGUGAGUAGGAUGUUUUAAAUUUGGUUUCGGUGAUCAUUCAGGCCAUUGUGAUGAAAUAUCGAAAAGGUCCCUAGCAUCAGAUCGCUCCAGCAUUUGCAUUUCCAGAGCCAUCUCACUCUUCCCUCCAAUGUCUCCCUCUCUCACCCUCCUCUACUCUUUCUUCUCUCACACAUCUCCACCUCUUCUGCAUCUUCUUCCUCUUUUCCCACUAUUAAAGAUGACUAGAAGAAGACUACUUACAUAGUCCAAGUCCAACCAGAUGGAUGCCCUUGGCCCUGUACCCUCCAAGUGAAAAGGCCGAUGCAGUUCCGGCGUCGUUGGUGGGAUUUGGUUUGGGUAGAUGGGAGUCUAAAAACU